rnacentral:rRNA from 1 species
ACGGAGGGUGCAAGCGUUAAUCGGAAUUACUGGGCGUAAAGCGCACGCAGGCGGCUGGGUAAGUCAGAUGUGAAAGCCCCGGGCUUAACCUGGGAAGUGCAUUUGAAACUGUUCGACUUGAGUCUUGUAGAGGGGGGUAGAAUUCCCGGUGUAGCGGUGAAAGGCGUAGAGAUCUGGAGGAAUACCGGUGGCGAAGGCGGCCCCCUGGACGAAAACUGACGCUCAGGCGCGAAAGCGUGGGGAGCAAACAG